UACGUAGGGUGCAAGCGUUAAUCGGAAUUACUGGGCGUAAAGCGUGCGCAGGCGGUUUUGUAAGUCUGACGUGAAAUACCCGGGCUCAACCUGGGAAUUGCGUUGGAGACUGCAAGGCUAGAAUCUGGCAGAGGGGGGUAGAAUUCCACGUGUAGCAGUGAAAUGCGUAGAGAUGUGGAGGAACACCGAUGGCGAAGGCAGCCCCCUGGGUCAAGAUUGACGCUCAUGCACGAAAGCGUGGGGAGCAAACAGG
rnacentral:rRNA from 1 species